rnacentral:lncRNA from 1 species
CCUCGAACGGCGGGUGGGCUACACCCACGGCGAGGCUGGCCGGGAUUCCCGGCCUGUCCCUUUAACCCCGCCGCCGGGCUGGAGCACGUGAGCCGGGCUCCGGGUGGCACCCGGGCGCCGCCGCCGCCGAGGCAGUUGUAUUUCGAACGCUGCCUCUGGCUAGCGGCCAGGCGCCUUGGCUCCGGGGUCCGCCUGGCCUCCCUCCUCCUCAUACUUUUCUUCCUGCGCAGCCCCCUCCCCUUUAUCCGCCCACGAUUAGAGGUGGGCACUCCCCCCCCCAGCGCAAGCGCGCGCGCGCGCACACACACACCACACACACUCACACUCACACACACUCACACACACUCAUCCCACUUGAAUCUUGGGGUGGGAACUCAGAAAACUUUCAGCCGGGCAGCGCGCGCUUGGUGCAAGACUCAGGAGCGAGCAGCCCGUCCCUCUCCGACUCUCCAGUGCAGCCGCCGCCUGCUCCCGCCACCCGAGGAGGCGCGGUGCCACCCACUGCUCUGUCCUCUGCCUGUGCUCCGCGCCCGACCCUAUCCCGGCGGAAUCUCCCCAUCCUCCUUUGCUUUCCGACUACCCAAGGCACUUUCAAUCUCAAUCUCUUCUCUCUCUCUCUCUCUCUCUCUCUCUCUCUCUCUCUCUCUCUCUCUCUCUUUCCCUCUCUCUCUCUCUCUCUCUGCGGAGAAGGGCUGGGGGAAAGAGGAGGAGGAAUUCUUUCCCCGCCUAACAUUUCAAGGGACACAAUUCUCUCCCAGUCUCUUCCCUUUCCAAGCCGCUUCCGAAGUGCUCCCGGUGCCCGCAACUCCAGAUCCCAACCCGCGAGAGGAGCCUCUGCCACCUCAAAGCCUCUCUUCCUUCUCGCUCGCUUCCCUCCUCCUCUCGCUACCUCCACCUCCACCGCCACCUCCACCUCCGGCACCCACCCACCGCCGCCGCCGCCACCGGCAGCGCCUCCUCCUCUCCUCCUCCUCCUCCCCUCUUCUUUUUUUGGCAGCGCUGGACGUCCGGUGUUGA